UGGGGAAUAUUGGACAAUGGGCGCAAGCCUGAUCCAGCCAUACCGCGUGGGUGAAGAAGGCCUUCGGGUUGUAAAGCCCUUUUGUUGGGAAAGAAAUCCAGCUGGCUAAUACCCGGUUGGGAUGACGGUACCCAAAGAAUAAGCACCGGCUAACUUCGUGCCAGCAGCCGCGGUAAUACGAAGGGUGCAAGCGUUACUCGGAAUUACUGGGCGUAAAGCGUGCGUAGGUGGUCGUUUAAGUCCGUUGUGAAAGCCCUGGGCUCAACCUGGGAACUGCAGUGGAUACUGGGCGACUAGAGUGUGGUAGAGGGUAGCGGAAUUCCUGGUGUAGCAGUGAAAUGCGUAGAGAUCAGGAGGAACAUCCAUGGCGAAGGCAGCUACCUGGACCAAGCACUGACACUGAGGCACGAAAGCGUGGGGAGCAAA
rnacentral:rRNA from 1 species